CUACGGGCGGCAGCAGUGAGGAAUAUUGCACAAUGGAGGAAACUCUGAUGCAGCAACGCCGCGUGGAGGAUGACGCAUUUCGGUGUGUAAACUCCUUUUAUGAGUCAAGAAAAUGACGGUAGCUCAUGAAUAAGCACCGGCUAACUCCGUGCCAGCAGCCGCGGUAAUACGGAGGGCGCAAGCGUUACUCGGAAUCACUGGGCGUAAAGGACGCGUAGGCGGGAUAUCAAGUCAGGUGUGAAAUCCUACAGCUUAACUGUAGAACUGCACUUGAAACUGGUAACCUAGAGUAUGGGAGGGGGAGAUGGAAUUAGUGGUGUAGGGGUAAAAUCCGUAGAUAUCACUAGGAAUACCUAAAGCGAAGGCGAUCUCCUGGAACAUAACUGACGCUAAGGCGUGAAAGCGUGGGGAGCAAACAGGAUUAGAUACCCGGGUAGUC
rnacentral:rRNA from 1 species